rnacentral:rRNA from 1 species
UACGAAGGGGGCUAGCGUUGCUCGGAAUGACUGGGCGUAAAGGGCGCGUAGGCGGCUCAUUUUGUCAGGCGUGAAAGUCCUGGGCUCAACCUGGGGACGGCGCUUGGGACGGGUGGGCUUGAGUGGGGAAGAGGGUCGUGGAAUUCCCAGUGUAGAGGUGAAAUUCGUAGAUAUUGGGAAGAACACCGGUGGCGAAGGCGGCGACCUGGUCCUUUUACUGACGCUGAGGCGCGAGAGCGUGGGGAGCAAACAGG